GUGCUUACUUCAACAGCACAUACACUAAAAUUGGAAUGAUACAAAGAUUAGCAUGGCCCCUGCAGACUCAUGAAGCCUUCUAUAUAAUAAUUAUAACAAUGUCCA